rnacentral:rRNA from 1 species
AGAGGCGAUGAAGGACGUGCUAAUCUGCGAUAAGCGUCGGUAAGGUGAUAUGAACCGUUAUAACCGGCGAUUUCCGAAUGGGGAAACCCAGUGUGUUUCGACACACUAUCAUUAACUGAAUCCAUAGGUUAAUGAGGCGAACCGGGGGAACUGAAACAUCUAAGUACCCCGAGGAAAAGAAAUCAACCGAGAUUCCCCCAGUAGCGGCGAGCGAACGGGGAGAAGCCCAGAGCCUGAAUCAGUGUGUGUGUUAGUGGAAGCGUCUGGAAAGGCGCGCGAUACAGGGUGACAGCCCCGUACACAAAAAUGCACAUAAUGUGAGCUCGAUGAGUAGGGCGGGACACGUGGUAUCCUGUCUGAAUAUGGGGGGACCAUCCUCCAAGGCUAAAUACUCCUGACUGACCGAUAGUGAACCAGUACCGUGAGGGAAAGGCGAAAAGAACCCCGGCGAGGGGAGUGAAAAAGAACCUGAAACCGUGUACGUACAAGCAGUGGGAGCAAAAUUAAAAGAGUGACUGCGUACCUUUUGUAUAAUGGGUCAGCGACUUAUAUUCUGUAGCAAGGUUAACCGAAUAGGGGAGCCGAAGGGAAACCGAGUCUUAACUGGGCGUUAAGUUGCAGGGUAUAGACCCGAAACCCGGUGAUCUAGCCAUGGGCAGGUUGAAGGUUGGGUAACACUAACUGGAGGACCGAACCGACUAAUGUUGAAAAAUUAGCGGAUGACUUGUGGCUGGGGGUGAAAGGCCAAUCAAACCGGGAGAUAGCUGGUUCUCCCCGAAAGCUAUUUAGGUAGCGCCUCGUGAAUUCAUCUCCGGGGGUAGAGCACUGUUUCGGCAAGGGGGUCAUCCCGACUUACCAACCCGAUGCAAACUGCGAAUACCGGAGAAUGUUAUCACGGGAGACACACGGCGGGUGCUAACGUCCGUCGUGAAGAGGGAAACAACCCAGACCGCCAGCUAAGGUCCCAAAGUCAUGGUUAAGUGGGAAACGAUGUGGGAAGGCCCAGACAGCCAGGAUGUUGGCUUAGAAGCAGCCAUCAUUUAAAGAAAGCGUAAUAGCUCACUGGUCGAGUCGGCCUGCGCGGAAGAUGUAACGGGGCUAAACCAUGCACCGAAGCUGCGGCAGCGACACUAUGUGUUGUUGGGUAGGGGAGCGUUCUGUAAGCCUGUGAAGGUGUACUGUGAGGAAUGCUGGAGGUAUCAGAAGUGCGAAUGCUGACAUAAGUAACGAUAAAGCGGGUGAAAAGCCCGCUCGCCGGAAGACCAAGGGUUCCUGUCCAACGUUAAUCGGGGCAGGGUGAGUCGACCCCUAAGGCGAGGCCGAAAGGCGUAGUCGAUGGGAAACAGGUUAAUAUUCCUGUACUUGGUGUUACUGCGAAGGGGGGACGGAGAAGGCUAUGUUGGCCGGGCGACGGUUGUCCCGGUUUAAGCGUGUAGGCUGGUUUUCCAGGCAAAUCCGGAAAAUCAAGGCUGAGGCGUGAUGACGAGGCACUACGGUGCUGAAGCAACAAAUGCCCUGCUUCCAGGAAAAGCCUCUAAGCAUCAGGUAACAUCAAAUCGUACCCCAAACCGACACAGGUGGUCAGGUAGAGAAUACCAAGGCGCUUGAGAGAACUCGGGUGAAGGAACUAGGCAAAAUGGUGCCGUAACUUCGGGAGAAGGCACGCUGAUAUGUAGGUGAAGUCCCUCGCGGAUGGAGCUGAAAUCAGUCGAAGAUACCAGCUGGCUGCAACUGUUUAUUAAAAACACAGCACUGUGCAAACACGAAAGUGGACGUAUACGGUGUGACGCCUGCCCGGUGCCGGAAGGUUAAUUGAUGGGGUAAGCGCAAGCGAAGCUCUUGAUCGAAGCCCCGGUAAACGGCGGCCGUAACUAUAACGGUCCUAAGGUAGCGAAAUUCCUUGUCGGGUAAGUUCCGACCUGCACGAAUGGCGUAAUGAUGGCCAGGCUGUCUCCACCCGAGACUCAGUGAAAUUGAACUCGCUGUGAAGAUGCAGUGUACCCGCGGCAAGACGGAAAGACCCCGUGAACCUUUACUAUAGCUUGACACUGAACAUUGAGCCUUGAUGUGUAGGAUAGGUGGGAGGCUUAGAAGUGUGGACGCCAGUCUGCAUGGAGCCGACCUUGAAAUACCACCCUUUAAUGUUUGAUGUUCUAACGUUGACCCGUAAUCCGGGUUGCGGACAGUGUCUGGUGGGUAGUUUGACUGGGGCGGUCUCCUCCUAAAGAGUAACGGAGGAGCACGAAGGUUGGCUAAUCCUGGUCGGACAUCAGGAGGUUAGUGCAAUGGCAUAAGCCAGCUUGACUGCGAGCGUGACGGCGCGAGCAGGUGCGAAAGCAGGUCAUAGUGAUCCGGUGGUUCUGAAUGGAAGGGCCAUCGCUCAACGGAUAAAAGGUACUCCGGGGAUAACAGGCUGAUACCGCCCAAGAGUUCAUAUCGACGGCGGUGUUUGGCACCUCGAUGUCGGCUCAUCACAUCCUGGGGCUGAAGUAGGUCCCAAGGGUAUGGCUGUUCGCCAUUUAAAGUGGUACGCGAGCUGGGUUUAGAACGUCGUGAGACAGUUCGGUCCCUAUCUGCCGUGGGCGCUGGAGAACUGAGGGGGGCUGCUCCUAGUACGAGAGGACCGGAGUGGACGCAUCACUGGUGUUCGGGUUGUCAUGCCAAUGGCACUGCCCGGUAGCUAAAUGCGGAAGAGAUAAGUGCUGAAAGCAUCUAAGCACGAAACUUGCCCCGAGAUGAGUUCUCCCUGACCCUUUAAGGGUCCUGAAGGAACGUUGAAGACGACGACGUUGAUAGGCCGGGUGUGUAAGCGCAGCGAUGCGUUGAGCUAACCGGUACUAAUGAACCGUGAGGCUUAACCUU